UCUCCGUAGGUGAACCUGCGGAGGGAUCAUUAACACGCUCCAAACCAAUCUAUUAACCCAACUGCGAACUUCGUAUCCGCCUCACUGUCUCGCAAGGCGAGGUGUGGCUGAAGCCAGGAUGAAGGUGAGAGGCCGCCAGCUUGGUUGUCAAUGACAGCCAGCCAGCAGCAGCUCAUACGGCUUCAGUCUCGAUGGCUGCCCCCAUCAAAAUGGGAGCGGCCUGCCUCGCAGUGUGAGACGAGGCCAACCAUAUAUGCGGUCAGCGCGUGUCAUCGACGCUGCUCGUCAUAUCCACACGCCCGUUCUCGUGGUUGCGCGUUGUGCACCGCACAGCAUGCGCCCGAGAAUGACUGUCUAUAAACUGUUGAUGUUGGGGCUUGUGGCUGCUUGUCAGCCCUGGCCUCUGUCUCAGCUCUCGUGUACCGAGCGGCUGACGACUAUUUACGAAUAAACAACAACUCUUAGCAAUGGAUAUCUUGGUUCUC
rnacentral:misc_RNA from 1 species